GCCGGGGUGGUGGAAUGGUAGACACGCUAUCUUCAGAAGGUAGUCCACUUUGUGGGUAUGGGUUCAAGUCCCAUCUCCGGCACCA
rnacentral:tRNA from 1 species